GUUGGACAAUCUGGAGAGAGGCGCCUCGAGGCGUCCACCGAAGGAGAAACCUCGCGUUCGACACGCGGGGGAAGCUCUCAGGUAACCGCGACAGAUGGGGGCAG
rnacentral:ncRNA from 1 species